GACGAACGCUGGCGGCGUGCCUAAUACAUGCAAGUCGAGCGAAUGGAUUAAGAGCUUGCUCUUAUGAAGUUAGCGGCGGACGGGUGAGUAACACGUGGGUAACCUGCCCAUAAGACUGGGAUAACUCCGGGAAACCGGGGCUAAUACCGGAUAACAUUUUGAACCGCAUGGUUCGAAAUUGAAAGGCGGCUUCGGCUGUCACUUAUGGAUGGACCCGCGUCGCAUUAGCUAGUUGGUGAGGUAACGGCUCACCAAGGCAACGAUGCGUAGCCGACCUGAGAGGGUGAUGGGCCACACUAGGACUGAGACACGGCCCAGACUCCUACGGGAGGCAGCAGUAGGGAAUCUUCCGCAAUGGACGAAAGUCUGACGGAGCAACGCCGCGUGAGUGAUGAAGGCUUUCGGGUCGUAAAACUCUGUUGUUAGGGAAGAACAAGUGCUAGUUGAAUAAGCUGGCACCUUGACGGUACCUAACCAGAAAGCCACGGCUAACUACGUGCCAGCCGCCGCAGUAA
rnacentral:rRNA from 1 species